rnacentral:rRNA from 1 species
UUAGUGAACGCCCUCACGGGCUUAUAACUAUUCCAAACCUCUGUGAACCGUGCCCUUCGGGGCUAUUUUACAAACAUGGUGUAAUGAACGUCAUAUAUCAUAACAAAACAAAACUUUCAACAACGGAUCUCUUGGCUCUCGCAUCGAUGAAGAACGCAGCGAAAUGCGAUAAGUAAUGUGAAUUGCAGAAUUCAGUGAAUCAUCGAAUCUUUGAACGCACCUUGCGCCCUCUGGUAUUCCGGAGGGCAUGCCUGUUUGAGUGUCAUGUAGACUCAAUCCCUCGGGUUUCCGAGGAGAUUGGACUUGGGUGUUGCCGCUCUGCCGGCUCGCCUUAAAAGACUUAGCGGGAUAGCACCGUAGUCGGCGUAAUAAGUUUCGUCGGUGAAGGUUGUGAUGACUGCUUACAAUCGCCCUCGGGCAAUUUUUGACUCUGACCUCAAAUCAGGUAGGACUACCCGCUGAACUUAAGCAUAUCAAUAAGCGGAGG